rnacentral:tRNA from 1 species
GCCCCGUUCGUCUAGUGGCCUAGGACGCCAGGUUCUCAACCUGGUAGCAGGGGUUCGAAUCCCCUACGGGGUGCGA